rnacentral:rRNA from 1 species
AGAGAUGCAUUGGGUUUAAAGCGUGCGCAGGCGGUUUUGUAAGACAGAGGUGAAAUCCCCGGGCUCAACCUGGGAACUGCCUUUGUGACUGCAAGGCUGGAGUGCGGCAGAGGGGGAUGGAAUUCCGCAUGUAGCAGUGAAAUGCGUAGAUAUGCGGAGGAACACCGAUGGCGAAGGCAAUCCCCUGGGCCUGCACUGACGCUCAUGCACGAAAGCGUGGGGAGCAAACA